rnacentral:tRNA from 1 species
CUUGGAGCCGUGCCUGAAUUAUAGGGCCACUUUGAUAGAGUGAAACAUGAGGGUUAAAAUCCCUCCCGCUCCU